AGCAAGUCUAUAGGCCACAUUUCCUACUCGUUCGACGAUUAAAAAUGGGCCAAUGAAUCGAGGAUUGAGCUUUCCUCUCUUUCUAAAUCUCGUAACUCCUUUUCAUAGAGCAACACGUAACAACACAUGAUCUCCAAUAUCGAAUUCCACGUCCUUUCGAUGAAGAUCAGCAUAACUCUUUUGUUGGUCUUGUGAGGUUUUUAUACAUUAUCGGAUUGUUU
rnacentral:lncRNA from 1 species